UUAUGGUUUGCCUGGGACUGA
rnacentral:miRNA from 4 species